rnacentral:misc_RNA from 1 species
AGCAGCCGCGGUAAUUCCAGCUCCAAUAGCGUAUAUUAAAGUUGUUGCAGUUAAAAAGCUCGUAGUUGAAUUUCGGGACCAAUUUGUUGGUCGUGCCUCGGUACGUACUGGUAUUAUUGGUUUCUCCCUUCUGAAGAACCUCGAUGCCAUUAAUUUGGUGUCGUGGGGAAUCAGGACUGUUACUUUGAAAAAAUUAGAGUGUUUAAAGCAGGCAUACGCUUGAAUACAUUAGCAUGGAAUAAUGAAAUAGGACGUUUGAUUCUAUUUUGUUGGUUUCUAGGAUCGACGUAAUGAUUAAUAGGGAUAGUUGGGGGCAUUAGUAUUCAAUUGUCAGAGGUGAAAUUCUUGGAUUUAUUGAAGACUAACUACUGCGAAAGCAUUUGCCAAGGAUGUUUUCAUUAAUCAAGAACGAAAGUUAGGGGAUCGAAGACGAUCAGAUACCGUCGUAGUCUUAACCAUAAACUAUGCCGACUAGGGAUCGGAUGAUGUUAAUUUUUUAAUGACUCAUUCGGCGCCUUAC